rnacentral:rRNA from 1 species
AGAGUUUGGAAUCUGGCUCAGGAUGAACGCUGGCGGCGUGCCUAAUACAUGCAAGUCGAGCGAAUGGAUUGAGAGCUUGCUCUCAAGAAGUUAGCGGCGGACGGGUGAGUAACACGUGGGUAACCUGCCCAUAAGACUGGGAUAACUCCGGGAAACCGGGGCUAAUACCGGAUAACAUUUUGAACUGCAUGGUUCGAAAUUGAAAGGCGGCUUCGGCUGUCACUUAUGGAUGGACCCGCGUCGCAUUAGCUAGUUGGUGAGGUAACGGCUCACCAAGGCAACGAUGCGUAGCCGACCUGAGAGGGUGAUCGGCCACACUGGGACUGAGACACGGCCCAGACUCCUACGGGAGGCAGCAGUAGGGAAUCUUCCGCAAUGGACGAAAGUCUGACGGAGCAACGCCGCGUGAGUGAUGAAGGCUUUCGGGUCGUAAAACUCUGUUGUUAGGGAAGAACAAGUGCUAGUUGAAUAAGCUGGCACCUUGACGGUACCUAACCAGAAAGCCACGGCUAACUACGUGCCAGCAGCCGCGGUAAUACGUAGGUGGCAGCGUUAUCCGGAAUUAUUGGGCGUAAAGCGCGCGCAGGUGGUUUCUUAAGUCUGAUGUGAAAGCCCACGGCUCAACCGUGGAGGGUCAUUGGAAACUGGGAGACUUGAGUGCAGAAGAGGAAAGUGGAAUUCCAUGUGUAGCGGUGAAUGCGUAGAGAUAUGGAGGAACACCAGUGGCGAAGGCGACUUUCUGGUCUGUAACUGACACUGAGCGCGAAA